GCGAUGAAGCGGGAGGUUGCGGCCGGAAGGCCGGGUAUUUCCGCUGAGUAUGUCCGAUUUCAAACCGGGCGACAA
rnacentral:ncRNA from 1 species